UACGGAGGAUGCAAGCGUUAUCCGGAUUCAUUGGGUUUAAAGGGUGCGCAGGCGGGAAAGUAAGUCAGUGGUGAAAAACUUCCGCUCAACGGUAGUCGUGCCAUUGAUACUGCUUUUCUUGAGUUUGGAUGAGGUAGGCGGAAUGUGCAGUGUAGCGGUGAAAUGCAUAGAUAUUGCACAGAACACCAAUUGCGAAGGCAGCUUACUAAUCCACGACUGACGCUGAGGCA
rnacentral:rRNA from 1 species